CGGAUUGGUGGUACUUACAUCUAGUAGAUACUCCUGCACCACUGCAUGCAGGAUGAUGGUAAUAAAGAAGUAGAAGAGGAUGGUGGCGCAGUCCUUCCAUCCGUAAUGAUACAAUGUCACUUCUCCAUCUUAUGGACACAGCACAUCAGGAAAAUAAUACGUCCACAUCGAGUUUCGCCAUGACGUCCAUGCCACCAGAAAGCAGCUCUGUGGUGGGAGACGAAAGAAACUUGAAAAGUCCAUCUCACCUCGAACAUCAGUCCAAUCAAAAUGAAAAUCACCAAACUGAAAACGAUGUCGGCGUGGUUCUGGAUGAGAAACUCCUGACUGAAGAAAGGGUAACUUUUGUUUCUUCGGCGAAACGCCAUCGCAAUUCCCUGCAACUAUUUGACAAUUUUCGACUAUCUUUUCUCCCCCUUCUCCUGACUGAACCCCAGUGAAACUUUCCCAGCGGACUGCGCAUGCGCGUCUUCAUAAAGGGCGAGUGACAGAAAUACCUCACUGAAGGCCGUUUGCAUCAGACCACAACACAAGAGGAACCGCUGCGUGUGCGCGCGCCGCCAUCAAAAGUGUAAGUACAAAAAUGUAUUAAUGUGAAGUUUUGAAACUUAAGUAUAACCAAACACACAAUUGACAUUGUUUAUACCCUUAGAAUGUGUUGUUGUCUUGGUAAAGCCUGUUUUGUGAUGCAGCUAUUGAAUUGGAUCACAUUUAAUUUUACAGUUUUUCUUGUGGGGGGCGGCUAAUGAAUUGUUAGUCUAUUUCUUGUGACAUGUAAAAAAAAUGCAUAGAUUAGAGCUGUCCCGAUCUGAUCGACAUGAUCGGAAAUAGAUUUUCAGCCAAUCUCAAUUGAUCAGUCAAACAUUAUUUGUGGAGCAUUUCAAAGCCUAACCAUACAUGAUCUUUCAAAAAAAAAGUCCUGGAGGAAUUGGGUGCGGAUUCAGUUGGGAAAAAAAGACGGGUUCGGGACAUCCUUACUAAGAUACAAUUUUUUUUCUGUUUAGUGAAAAUACUUAUUAAAUGUUACAAUCGUGUUGCUUUUUUCAAAGAAACACUUGUUUCCAUUUUGAACGCAUUUUUUUAUUUUCACAAAAUGCUUAUGAUGGAAGUCUUGUCCCCCAAUCGUUCCUCCCAUGCGUUAAAAGAGAUGAAAAAUACGUGGCCCGUACGGGGAUCGAACCCGCGACCUUGGCGUUAUUAGCACCACGCUCUAACCAACUGAGCUAACCGGCCUUAUAAGUCUAUUCUAAACAUGAUAAAAUAUACAACAGCUAUUCUUGAAAUUAUGAAAGAAUAGCUGUAAAAACUGUAGAUUUCUUCUGUUUACAGCAGGGAACAUAUUUGGAACUGACUCGUUGCCCAACGACGCUGAACUCGGCUCCACAUUCGCGCUCGCACAGCUCUGCUUUCAACCUGAAAAGACAGCAGUUUCGCUUUUCUGCCUGUAGGUGGCAAUAUUUGCCACAGUUUUGAUUGAGUGAAGACGCUCUGCAGUUUAAAAACACAGAUUUUAAUAGAUAGAAAUAGAUUUUUAAAAAGCCAUACAAUACAUGAUCAUUAAAAAAAAGUCUGACUAUACGUGGUUGUUUAACAAACGCCUUACUGUUCAUGAUCGUUGAAAAACACUUUCUGGACAUUGUCCUAAAAAAAAAUUCACGCUGAUUAAACAAAAAGUCUGACCGUAAGUGGUUGUUUAAAAAAAACCCCAAAAUGC